GGCAACCCAGGGCCGGAGGGAGGGGGAAUACGGAGGGGGGAAGCGGUAAUGUGAAGUACUGGGCGUAAAGGGCACGCAGGCGGUUGGGUAAGUUAGGUGUGAAAGCCCCGGGCUCAACCUGGGAAUUGCAUUUAAAACUGUCCAGCUAGAGGCUUGUAGAGGGGGGUAGAAUUCCAGGUGUAGCGGUGAAAUGCGUAGAGAUCUGGAGGAAUACCGGUGGCGAAGGCGGCCCCCUGGACAAAGACUGACGCUCAGGUGCGAAAGCGUGGGGAGCAAACAGGAUUAGAUACCCUGGUAGUC
rnacentral:rRNA from 1 species